rnacentral:tRNA from 4 species
GUGUCGUUAGCUCAGUUGGUAGAGCAGUUGACUUUUAAUCAAUUGGUCGCAGGUUCGAAUCCUGCACGACCCACCA